AACGCACAUUGCGCCCCGUGGCAUUCCGCGGGGCAUGCCUGUUCGAGCGUCAUUACACCACUCAAGCCUCGCUUGGUAUUGGGCGACGCGGUACGCCGCGCGCCUCAAAUCUUCCGGCUGGUUCGAAUCGUCCCUCAGCGUUGUGGAAACUAUUCGCUAAAGGUGCGCGUUUCGGUCACGCCGUUAAACAAACCAAUUCAUUAAAGGUUGACCUCGGAUCAGGUAGGGAUACCCGCUGAACUUAA
rnacentral:misc_RNA from 1 species